UACGUAGGGGGCUAGCGUUGUCCGGAAUCAUUGGGCGUAAAGCGCGUGUAGGCGGCCCGGUAAGUCCGCUGUGAAAGUCCAGGGCUCAACCCUGGGAUGCCGGUGGAUACUGUCGGGCUCGAGUCCGGAAGAGGCGAGUGGAAUUCCCGGUGUAGCGGUGAAAUGCGCAGAUAUCGGGAGGAACACCUAUGGCGAAGGCAGCUCGCUGGGACGUUACUGACGCUGAGACGCGAAAGCGUGGGGAGCAAACAGG
rnacentral:rRNA from 1 species